CCGAAACAUUCCAGCCAAUCAGCAGCAGACCCUCCCUCCCAGACCCUCCCACCUCCUGGACAGCAUCCAUUUUACAUUCAUUGUGAAGCUGCAUUCUUAGUGAGCUGUCCAGGAGGUGGGAGGGUCUGGGAGGGAGGGUCUGCUGCUGAUUGGCUGGAAUGUGUCU